AACGCACAUUGCGCCCAUUGGUAUUCCGAUGGGCAUGCCUGUUCGAGCGUCAUUAUCCUCCCUCAAACCUCGAGUUUGGCGUUGGACCGUGUUGGUUGAACGACCAACUGGUCUCAAAGACAAUGACGGCGUCCGUGGGACCCUCGGUGCAACGAGCUUCUUAGGAGCACGCGUCGAGUUUCAAGGACCUUCCGGGCCGGUCUUGACCUAUAUCUUCUUAGGUUGACCUCGGAUCAGGUAGGAAUACCCGCUGAACUUAA
rnacentral:misc_RNA from 1 species